CCUACGGGGGGCAGCAGUGGGGAAUAUUGGGCAAUGGGCGCAAGCCUGACCCAGCAACGCCGCGUGAAGGAAGAAGGCUUUCGGGUUGUAAACUUCUUUUAAGAGGGAAGAGAAGAAGACGGUACCUCUUGAAUAAGCCACGGCUAACUACGUGCCAGCAGCCGCGGUAAUACGUAGGUGGCAAGCGUUGUCCGGAUUUACUGGGUGUAAAGGGAGCGUAGGCGGGACGGCAAGUCAGAUGUGAAAACUGAGGGCUCAACUUUCAGACUGCAUUUGAAACUGCUGUUCUUGAGUGAAGUAGAGGU
rnacentral:rRNA from 1 species